UUGCACAAAACUCCCUUGGUUCUACUAGUUUUGCUUCCAGAAUCAUCUCCUCCUUCCCAGAAACGCAACAGGCCCAAAAUCCUCCAACCCCGGCGUAGCUGGGCGAUAGCGAGCUUGCCGAUGGUGGCGGCGGGCCAGAUCCGGUGCCUAGCUGGGCGAUUGCGCCCAGUGGAGGUCCAGAUCCAGCACCCCCACCGUCUUGCUGCCGGCGUCCUCGCUGCCCCAGCAGAUCUCCUCGCGGACAAAUACUCUGCUCCAUCGUCCUGCCCCGGCGGACCGUCUCGAAGGUACUCUUCUCCGACGUCCAGUGGAAAACCUCACGCAUUCUUCACACGUCGCUCGCACCCCCGCGUCUAGCUCCGCCAUCUGGGAACGCUGGAGAAGAAAUCUCCCGUCUUCAGGUCGAAGCUCGUCGACUAGUACUAAGUUUGUUUUCCGCUAUUUUGCUGCUGCAUCUUGAAAUGAAAUGGAGGGAAGUAGUGAGACAUCGCUGUUAGGCGAGCCCAUAGUUCCAGUAAUUGCAAAAUUUGUACCAACACUAUCAGGUGACAAGACAUAGUCCAAAAAGGAAAGUAUAUUUUGUCAUUGCCCAAUUUUCCAUUAUCCCUUCUUUGAUGUUUUUUCCGUUAAUCCCUUCUUUGAUGAUUUUUGGUAUUGUUUAUACUCAUUACAAUAAAAUCAUAUUUUCUUUGUGUCUUUGCUGCUAAUUGCAAAGUACUUGAGCAAUAAGAGGCGCUUCUAAGCUGUUAGGAGUGGAAACCAACAGCUUCAGUGAACAUGCAAACAUCGUGGCCUGCACUUGUAGUGCUUCUGUCAGCAAAGAUGUGUGCAUUAAGGCAAUGCUAGGUCACAAUCUACAAUUAGCAGGAAAUGUCCAUUGGAGGGACUAGAUGGCUGAUUGUUUUGACCUACUUGCUGUGAAAAUUGAUACAAGUGAUCCGUCACUGUCAAGCUGUGAAUAUAUUUUGCCGUAUGAUAUUAUUUUCGUUUUCUCUUCACUGGUUUGACAUGUGCCUUUGUGCUACAACAUCAAGUUUUUACUUUUGUCAUCUACUCCCUCCGUUUGAAAAAGCUUGUCCCUCAAAUGGAUGUAUCUAACACCAAGUUAGUGCUAGAUACAUCCAUUUGAGGGACAAGUUUGGGACAAGCUUUUUCGGAAGGAGGGAGUACGAGUUAGCAAAACAACUUGAGUUGCACUCUUAAUUGUUCAAUACAUACAUGAUCAGUAUUAGAGAACAUAAUUUUUCCUAUUUCUUUCCUUGUAGUGUAAACUAUAUUUUUUUUCCUUGUAUUUGUAGAUGCAUGGUACUCUGACAAGCGGAAGCAUCAGGACUACAGAUGGAUAGAAAAAGCUUUUAUCAAAGUUCCCCCUUUCUGACAAUUGAGAGAAUUUCUCUGCAACUUGACUUUAACUCUGUUGUUGAUCAGGCAUCUGUACGUGUCUGUGCUCAACUGAAUCGUGUUUUCUUGGUGUGAUCCCUCCCAAAACAAGAAGCUUGAUGAAUGAUGAACAAGGAGUAGUAGAACAGGAGGGAAAUGCUAGAGCAUUUCUGUUAUGUACCAUCAAGAUACUAGAGCUUAUAAUUUUAAAUAACAAUGCUUGUUGAAUGGUGAUCAGAUUAGUCCUUAAUGCCUGUUGCUGGCCAUGUACCAAAGAUGGUGCUACCAUGUCUCAUCAAGAUAUUUAUGCUUGUGAUAUGCUCAA